AGAGUUUGAUCCUGGCUCAGGAUGAACGCUAGCGACAGGCUUAACACAUGCAAGUCGAGGGGCAGCGGGGGAGCAGCAAUGCUCCCGCCGGCGACCGGCGCACGGGUGAGUAACACGUAUGGAACCUGCCCGCAGCAGGGGGAUAAGCGGAAGAAAUUCCGUCUAAUACCGCGUAACACCGCGGAGGGGCAUCCCUCGGCGGUUAAAGAUUCAUCGGCUGCGGAUGGCCAUGCGGCGCAUUAGCUAGUCGGCGGGGUAACGGCCCACCGAGGCGACGAUGCGUAGGGGUUCUGAGAGGAAGGUCCCCCACACUGGUACUGAGACACGGACCAGACUCCUACGGGAGGCAGCAGUGAGGAAUAUUGGUCAAUGGCCGGGAGGCUGAACCAGCCAAGUCGCGUGAGGGAAGACGGCCCUACGGGUUGUAAACCUCUUUUGUCAGGGAGCAAGAGGCGGGUCGGGACCUGCUGUGAGAGUACCCGAAGAAAAAGCAUCGGCUAACUCCGUGCCAGCAGCCGCGGUAAUACGGAGGAUGCGAGCGUUAUCCGGAUUUAUUGGGUUUAAAGGGUGCGCAGGCGGAGGCACAAGUCAGCGGUAAAAUCGCGGGGCUCAACCCCGCUCCGCCGUUGAAACUGUGUCCCUUGAGUGCGCGAAGGGUAGGCGGAAUGCGUGGUGUAGCGGUGAAAUGCAUAGAUAUCACGCAGAACUCCGAUCGCGAAGGCAGCCUACCGGCGCGCAACUGACGCUCAUGCACGAAAGCGUGGGUAUCGAACAGGAUUAGAUACCCUGGUAGUCCACGCAGUAAACGAUGAAUGCUAUCUGUCCGGCCGGAAUGACGGCUGGGUGGCACAGCGAAAGCGUUAAGCAUUCCACCUGGGGAGUACGCCGGCAACGGUGAAACUCAAAGGAAUUGACGGGGGCCCGCACAAGCGGAGGAACAUGUGGUUUAAUUCGAUGAUACGCGAGGAACCUUACCCGGGCUCAAACGACACAGGGAUGCCGCCGAAAGGUGGCAGUCCUUCGUGACCUGUGUCGAGGUGCUGCAUGGUUGUCGUCAGCUCGUGCCGUGAGGUGUCGGCUUAAGUGCCAUAACGAGCGCAACCCCCAUCUUCAGUUGCCAUCAGGUAGAGCUGGGCACUCUGGAGAGACUGCCGGCGCAAGCUGCGAGGAAGGCGGGGAUGACGUCAAAUCAGCACGGCCCUUACGUCCGGGGCGACACACGUGUUACAAUGGCAGGUACAGCGGGAAGCCAGGCGGCGACGCCGAGCGGAACCCGAAAACCUGUCUCAGUUCGGAUCGGAGUCUGCAACCCGACUCCGUGAAGCUGGAUUCGCUAGUAAUCGCGCAUCAGCCAUGGCGCGGUGAAUACGUUCCCGGGCCUUGCACUCACCGCCCGUCA
rnacentral:rRNA from 1 species